rnacentral:rRNA from 1 species
GAUGAACGCUGGCGGCGUGCCUAAUACAUGCAAGUCGAGCGAACAGACGCGGAGCUUGCUCCUGUGACGGUAGCAGCGGCCAAGUGGUUAACACGUGGAGAACCUACCUAUAAGACUUGGAUAACUUCGGCAAACCGGAGCUACUACCACAUAAUAUAUUGAACCUCAUGGUUCAAUAGUGAAGGACGGAUUUGCUGUCACUGAGAGAUGGGUCCGCGGCGCAUUAGCUAGUUGGUAAGGUAACGGCUUACCAAGGCAACGAUGCGUAGCCGCCCUGAGAGGGUGAUCGGCCACACUGGAACGGAGCAAAGGCCCAGACACCUCCGGGGGGCAGCAGUAGGGGAUCUUACGGAAUGGGCGAACGCAUGACGGAGCAACGACGCGUGGGUGAUGAAGGUGUUCGGAUCGUAAAACUCUGUUAUUAGGGAAGAACAAAUGUGUAAGUAACUAUGCACGUCUUGACGGUACCUAAUCAGAAAGCGCCGGCUAACUACGUG